rnacentral:rRNA from 1 species
AUUGAACGCUGGCGGCAGGCCUAACACAUGCAAGUCGAACGAGUGGCGGACGUGUGAGUAAUGUCUGGGAAACUGCCUGAUGGAGGGGGAUAACUACUGGAAACGGUAGCUAAUACCGCAUACCAUCAGAUGUGCCCAGAUUGGAUUCGCUGGUUGGUGGGGUAACGGCUCACCACGGCGACGAUCCCUAGCUGGUCUGAGAGGAUGACCAGCCACACUGGAACUGAGACACGCUCCAGAUUCCGACGGGAGGAAGCAGUGGGGAAUAUUGCACAAUGGGUGCAAGCCUGAUGCAGCCAUGCCGCGUGUAGGAGGAAGGCCUUCGGGUUGUAAAGUACUUUCAGCGGGGAGGCGGUACCCGCAGAAGAAGCACCGGCUAACUCCGUGCCAGCCGCCGCGGUAAUAC